UUAAGCAUAUCAAUAAGCGGAGGAAAAGAAACCAACAGGGAUUGCCCCAGUAACGGCGAGUGAAGCGGCAACAGCUCAAAUUUGAAAUCUGGCCCCUAGGGUCCGAGUUGUAAUUUGUAGAGGAUGCUUUUGGUGAGGUGCCGCCCGAGUUCCCUGGAACGGGACGCCGCAGAGGGUGAGAGCCCCGUCUGGCUGGCCACCGAGCCUAUGUAAAGCUCCUUCGACGAGUCGAGUAGUUUGGGAAUGCUGCUCAAAAUGGGAGGUAUAUGUCUUCUAAAGCUAAAUAUUGGCCAGAGACCGAUAGCGCACAAGUAGAGUGAUCGAAAGAUGAAAAGCACCUUGAAAAGAGGGUUAAACAGUACGUGAAAUUGUUGAAAGGGAAGCGCUUGUGACCAGACUUGGGCGCGGCGGAUCAUCCGGGGUUCUCCCCGGUGCACUUCGCCGCGUUCAGGCCAGCAUCAGUUCGGCGCGGGGGAAAAAGGCUUCGGGAACGUGGCUCCUCCGGGAGUGUUAUAGCCCGUUGCAUAAUACCCUGCGCUGGACUGAGGACCGCGCAUCUGCAAGGAUGCUGGCGUAAUGGUCACCAGCGACCCGU
rnacentral:rRNA from 1 species